rnacentral:rRNA from 1 species
AACGAACGCUGGCGGCAUGCCUAACACAUGCAAGUCGAACGGGAUCCUGGUUUCGGCCAGGUGAGAGUGGCGGACGGGUGAGUAACGCGUGGGAACCUGCCCAGUGGUGGGGGAUAACUGCGGGAAACUGCAGCUAAUACCGCAUGAGCCCGCAAGGGGAAAGAUUGAUCGCCAUUGGAGGGGCCCGCGUUCGAUUAGGUAGUUGGUGAGGUAACGGCUCACCAAGCCUACGANCGAUAGCUGGUCUGAGAGGAUGAUCAGCCACACUGGGACUGAGAUACGGCCCAGACUCCUACGGGAGGCAGCAGUGGGGAAUAUUGGACAAUGGGGGCAACCCUGAUCCAGCAAUGCCGCGUGAGUGAUGAAGGCC